AAAGUCGUAACAAGGUCUCCGUUGGUGAACCAGCGGAGGGAUCAUUACCGAGAUCAUUCUCAUAACCCUGUGAACUUAUACCUAUUUCGUUGCCUCGGCAGGCGGUCCCGGGGGGACCUCCGGCCCGCGGGUGCCUGCCGGCAGCGCUGAACUUCUGAACUUCUACCGUACAUUCUGAGUGGCGAGCUGCAAAGCAAAACAGUCAAAACCUUCAACAACGGAUCUCUUGGUUCUG
rnacentral:misc_RNA from 1 species